AGAGUUUGAUCCUGGCUCAGGAUGAACGCUGGCGGUAUGCUUAACACAUGCAAGUCGAACGAAAGCUUUAUGCUUUAGUGGCGAACGGGUGCGUAAUACGUGAGAAUCUGCCCUUAGGAGGAGAAUAACUUCUGGAAACGGUUGCUAAGUCUCCAUAUGCCGAGAGGUAAAAUAGUUUACACUGCCUAGGGAUGAGCUCACGCCUGAUUAGCUUGUUGGUAAGGUAAUGGCUUACCAAGGCCACGAUCAGUAGCUGGUUUGAGAGAACGAUCAGCCACACUGGGACUGAGACACGGCCCAGACUCCUCCGGGAGGCAGCAGUGAGGAAUUUUCCGCAAUGGGCGAAAGCCUGACGGAGCAAUACCGCGUGAGGGAUGAAGGAUUUUGGUCUGUAAACCUCUUUUCUCAAGAAAGAAGUUCUGACGGUACUUGAGGAAUAAGCAUCGGCUAACUCCGUGCCAGCAGCCGCGGUAAUACGGGGGAUGCAAGCGUUAUCCGGAUUUAUUGGGCGUAAAGCGCCUGUAGGUUGUUUAAUAAGUCUGUUGUUAAAGACUAGGGCUUAACCCUAGGAAAGCAAUGGAAACUACUAGACUUGAGUAUGAUAGGGGUAGAGGGAAUUUCUAGUGUAGCGGUGAAAUGCGUAGAUAUUAGAAAGAACACCGGUGGCGAAGGCGCUCUACUGGAUCAUUACUGACACUCAGAGGCGAAAGCUAGGGUAGCAAAAGGGAUUAGAUACCCCUGUAGUCCUAGCCGUAAACGAUGGAUACUACAUGUUGCGUUUUUAAUGCAGUAUGGUAGCUAACGCGUUAAGUAUCCCGCCUGGGGAGUACGGUCGCAAGGCUGAAACUCAAAGGAAUUGACGGGGGCCCGCACAAGCGGUGGAGCAUGUGGUUUAAUUCGAUGCAACGCGAAGAACCU
rnacentral:rRNA from 1 species